UACAAUAAACUUGAAUCUAGUUCGGAAUUACCAUACAAGAUCAAUGCCAACAUUAUAAAUGGAACCUAUAAAUUGGAGACCCUGAUUGAAGAACCAAUCACGAGGACCUGGAACUCAAGCAGUACUUUAGUUAAGUAUUUCCUAGGACUCCCAAACAUGAAUCACUAACUGUUGUCAAGAUGUAAUGAUUUUGAUUUUAAUAAUACAAUGAUUUUU
rnacentral:lncRNA from 1 species